UUUUCCAUUUAUUGUUGUUGUUGUUCUGGGAUCAUCUGCUUGUGUGUCUGUCUUUUCUCCAAAAUCCUACGGACUCUUAAUGAGCAGGGAUUGUAUCUUAUCCAUUUUUUUAUCCCAAGCACCUAGAAUCAUACUUGAUAUGUGCCUGAAACAUGGGAAACCCUCAGUGCAUAUUUUUGAACUUUUUAUUACAGUGUUUCAUGUGGAGAUUGUCCCUGUUUCUGAUGGUGAUACACUAGAAGAACCCACAGUGACAUCCUGUAGACUCCCUGUUGCAGUGACAGCACAUGGGCUUUUCAUCUGUGCUCUCUGCAAUGAUCCUGCGAUCUGCCACACAAUCAGUUCCUUAGAAAAGAACAAUGCUACCAGAAAGAAAGAAAGUACUGGCAACAUGCCUGGGAAGAACAUCUUUCUACAAACCUACACCAGCUAAAAAAAACCUUUCCCGAAAUGACUGGUGCCAUGUGUGGGGUUACCAGGAGCAGGAAGAAGUGUUUCAGAGGACAGAAAAAAAUUGAGUACAAAUAUUGUGGUUUUUCAUUGUCUUCAUAAAAACUGAGUUUUUCAGAUCUUGGACCUGGGGGGUAAUUUACAUAACCAAGUAUGAGAGCUCUCACAGAAUGAUUGCACACCUGCAUUUAGCGAAACAGAAAGAAAAACUCUUGUUGAGUAAUGUACCAUAUGCAAAUUGAGGGAUCAAAGGAGCACAACAGCUGGUAUGCAAAGAAUAUUUUUCAGAUUCUUAGGGAGCAUCAGUCUGGAGGCAUUCAAAACCUCCACCAGACUGGCAAAAGUACACUGUGCAACUUGGGUGAUCUUAACUUGGGUAUGAAUGAAACUGGCUUUUGGAGAAAUAGAUAAAUGUUAUGGCCAAAGUCCAAAACUCAUUGGAACUGAUAGCUGGACAUCCAGCAAAGUGGGAAAAGUUAUUAACAAAUUCAUUAAUUAGGAUCCUCUUUACAUUUCUACCCCCAAUUAAAAACCUGUAUAAUCUGCACUCUUUUUAUUUCAAUUUUUAUUGCUAGAAAGAGAUAGGUUACUUGAAUUUCACAAAGACAUGUCAGUGGCACAGUUCUCAUUUUUCUAGGGCAGGAUGGGCACAUCUUCC
rnacentral:lncRNA from 1 species